GAUGAACGCUGGCGGCGUGCCUAAUACAUGCAAGUCGAGCGAACGGACGAGAAGCUUGCUUCUCUGAUGUUAGCGGCGGACGGGUGAGUAACACGUGGAUAACCUACCUAUAAGACUGGGAUAACUUCGGGAAACCGGAGCUAAUACCGGAUAAUAUUUUGAACCGCAUGGUUCAAAAGUGAAAGACGGUCUUGCUGUCACUUAUAGAUGGAUCCGCGCUGCAUUAGCUAGUUGGUAAGGUAACGGCAUACCAAGGCAACGAUGCAUAGCCGACCUGAGAGGGUGAACGGCCACACUGGAACUGAGACACGGUCCAGACUCCGACGGGAGGCAGCAGUAGGGAAUCUUCCGCAAUGGGCGAAAGCCUGACGGAGCAACGCCGAGUGAGUGAUGAAGGUCUUCGGAUCGUAAAACUCUGUUAUUAGGGAAGAAAAUAUGUGUAAGUAACUGUGCACAUCUUGACGGUACCUAAUCAGAAAGCCACGGCUAACUACGUG
rnacentral:rRNA from 1 species